rnacentral:rRNA from 1 species
AGCGAACGCUGGCGGCAGGCCUAACACAUGCAAGUCGAACGAAGUCUUCGGACUUAGUGGCGGACGGGUGAGUAACACGUGGGAACGUGCCUUUAGGUUCGGAAUAACUCAGGGAAACUUGUGCUAAUACCGAAUGUGCCCUUCGGGGGAAAGAUUUAUCGCCUUUAGAGCGGCCCGCGUCUGAUUAGCUAGUUGGUGAGGUAAAGGCUCACCAAGGCGACGAUCAGUAGCUGGUCUGAGAGGAUGUUCAGCCACAUUGGUACUGAGACACGGGCCAACCUCCUACGGGAGGCAGCGGUGGGGAAUCUUGCGCCAUGGGCGAAAGCCUGACGCAGCCAGGCCGCGUGAAUGAUGAAGGUCUUAGGAGUGUAAAAUUCUUUCACCGGGGACGAUAAUGACGGUACCCGGAGAAGAAGCCCCGGCUAACUUCGUGCCAGCCGCCGCAGUAAGAC